UCUGCUGCUUUGAUGCAUCCAACGCCGUCAUCUUGUAGCCAAUGCUGGGACAAGGCCAUCACUACUCAUGAACAUAGCAAGUUUCAGUAAAUGCUUGUCCAUAAAAAGGAGGCAAUAUCUAAUCUUUCAGACAUUCUUUUAAAUCCAUUAUGUGUGGAAGCUAACAGAACAUUUCCAACAAAACAUGAAUAGAUGGACCACUGAAAUUGAACAAACAAUCAUUGCAAUUUUGGAACCAUGUAGAUUAGAGAACAGAGAAGAGUAGGCAAAACAAAGGUUUGUAGUACUUACAAGCAACAGCCUCUCUUCCUCUCACUGCUUGGUUCUGUCAUGAUUGUUGAUCCAAAAUUGCAGACUACUGAUCCUGCAGCUUAUUGAAGAUCAUGAAAGCCUUAAAGCAAUCAAUACUACGGAUGUAAUGCAAAGGCCUCAUAUUUAUCCAUCUCCAUCAGGUGUGCUAUGUGUUCUUCCAUUUGUGAAUGACAUCUUUUUGGCCAUUGUUCCUUUGCUACGAAAUUUUGAAACAUGAUCCUUCAUGCUUUUGGCAACUCUAAGUUAGCCUAACGACAUUUAUGACUUUCUAGCCUCAACUUUUGUGGGUCAUCCUUUCCAUGGAGUCAAGAAGGUUUUGUGGCUUGCAUUAAACAUAACUUUCCUAUGGUUUCUUUGGGCGAGAGGAACGGAAGAAUAUUUAAGGAUUCUUUCUCCAAUUUUGAUACUUUUAUGGACUUAAUUCUUUUUCAUGCAUUGUGUUGGUGUAAAUGUAAACACCCUUUUUCUAAUUAUAGCUUAUCUUCUAACUUCUAAAUUUGGGAUUCCUAUUUCUGAAUGAUAUUCCACAAUCAAAACAAUUGACUAAAUCCCAUGAAACCAUUUCAUAAAAGUUUAUUGAUAUAUUUUCUUUUAUAAAGCAACUUGUUCCUUCUAGUAAUACCUCUAGGGGUUGGAGGUUACACUCGUUUUUAUUUCAUUUAUCAUUGAAAUUUGUUUCCCUUCU